CGCCAAUGGGAGAAAGCCCGCGGGCCGGGCCGAUGAGGCACACGGACCACACGAGCGCGGCGGCGGCGACAGCGGCGGGCCAGGCAAGAGCACAACAUGGCGGCGAGCAGGCCGGACCGAGCUACAGCAGCGGCCGCGCGAGGAAGUGAGCCUCUGGUAAUCACCAUUCUAGUUUCACCUUUUGGCCACUAUGAAUGAUGCUUCUGUGGACAUUAGUAUACAAAUAUCUGCUGGAGUCCCUGCUUUUGAUUGUUUGGGGUAUAUACCCAGAAGUGAAGUUGCUGGAUUAUAUGCCCUGGCGGAGAAUGUGAAGAUAAGGCCAGAGGGAACAUUGAGAAGAAGGAUCUCAGAGAAGAUGGAAAAUUCAACAGAACCUUGGAAAUGCAACUGCUAUUCCAGGACCUUUGUUCCUGGAAUGGACUCUGAGAGUGCAUGAUGCAGCUUGGAGGAUGUCUCCUCUGGGAUCCCUCCCCGCUGCCCCACCCCUUCACAGGGUGAAUGAGUCCUCUGUAGCUAUCAGGAUUUGCUGUAUCAGGAGUGUUCCUCUGCUGUCACCUGUGAUGACCAUUUUCCUCAAUUCAGAAUCCCCAGCACCUGCAAAAGGCCUGGAUCAAGAAGGGGCAUGAGCAGGAACAGAGGAUUGCAGUUCUUAGGAUGGCCACGCGAGGGAAGUGGUGAGCAGCCUCCAGGAGGACUUCGGAUCUGCUGUGCCAAGGCACCUGCUGAGGACCCAGAUGGCCCGCCUGGGGUUUCCGGGGCUUCCCGGCCCCUGAACAUGUGGGCGCAGGCCAGAGCGCCGCAGGAGAAGCCUCUUCCAGGUGCUCGGUCUCGACUCUCACAGCCCCAGCCAUCCCUCCUGCUUGUCCCCGUCUUGGCUUGGAGGGGCUGGAGGGCAGGAGGGGACAGAGUGGGGGCCAACCAGGAUAUAUCCCCUCCAUUUUGUCAUUUGUCUUUCAAACUGGUUUAUGGCUAUUUCUUCUGUAUAGAAGUCUUGUAGUCAAACAUUUCCAUGUUUUCUCUUAUGGCUUCUAGGUUUCAUCAUGCUUAGAAAGUCUUUUCCAUCUCCAAGAUAAUUAAAAUAUUCACUUGUCUCUUUUCUGAUACAUUAUAGUGUUAAA